GUGGUUGCCCGCCCAUCCACCCAUCCCAGCGGAAAGAAAGCGUGUAGCCACAAAUGGAGUCAACCUCCCUCCACCCCGGCCGGAAGUGCCCCCAGCCAAGCAGGGACCGGCUACCCUUUGCAGAUCCUUGGCCUGGCCCGGCAGAAAUGGGUGUCCCAGGGCAGAGGAUGGGAGGGGCGGGCCAGGCUUCUGGGCCACAGGCUGUACGCGUGCGAUCAGAGACCAGUUAUCCCCUGGGAAGAGGGAAGGCGCUUCUGUUUCCCCGUCUGGCGAGUGGCUUUCUGUGGCACAUCGUAUCUUCCCCAAACGGCCACGAGAGUAUUUCUUUUUCCCACGUGCUCUUCGAGAACCCUGCCACUCUCCUCCACCAAGAGGGGGAGUCCACAUCCGGCCUCUCCGCGGUUGGGCGUGCAGGUUCUAGAGGCUCCCUGGGUUCUUUCACCUCGGUUCCUGCGCCUGUAAAGUGAGGAUGCCAGUAACAGCAGGCUCUCAGAUGGAAAGAACAUUACACCGUGUUUCCCUAAUUCUGGGACGGCGUGAGCUCUGAUAUGCACCAUCGACGGCAUUUUUUUUUUUCAGAGGAAAGGAGGAAAUGCUACCGUUCGGAAUUGUAAGACUUCUCCCGAUUUUAGAAAAGUUAACGUCUAUGGAGGAAGGCUUCUUAGGUCAAGGAAAUAGUGUGGAACCAAGUAAUCACAGUGGGGGCCGUCAGCAGGGGAGAAUAAAAUUUAUUUUUAUUUUUA